UACGUAGGUGGCAAGCGUUGUCCGGAUUUAUUGGGCGUAAAGGGCGCGUAGGCGGGAGCGUAAGUCAGAUGUAAAAUCCCAGGGCUCAACCCUGGAAUAGCAUUUGAAACUGCGUUUCUAGAGGGUAGGCGGAGAAAACAGAAUUCCACAAGUAGCGGUGAAAUGCGUAGAUAUGUGGAAGAAUACCUGUGGCGAAGGCGGUUUUCUAGCUUAUACCUGACGCUGAGGCGCGAAAGCAAGGGGAUCAAACAGG
rnacentral:rRNA from 1 species